rnacentral:rRNA from 1 species
GAUCAUGGCUCAGGAUGAACGCUAGCUACAGGCUUAACACAUGCAAGUCGAGGGGAAACGACAGAGGAAGCUUGCUUCCUUUGGGCGUCGACCGGCGCACGGGUGAGUAACGCGUAUCCACCUUCCCGCAAGUAAGGGAUAACCCGUAGAAAUGCGGCCUAAUACCUUAUGUUUUCCUUAGAUGGCAUCUGAUGAGGAACAAAGAUCGUCGCUUGCGGAUGGGGAUGCGUCUGAUUAGUUAGG